UGCGUAGGGUGCGAGCGUUGCUCGGAAUCACUGGGCGUAAAGGGCGCGUAGGCGGGAUGGCAAGUCGGUCGUGAAAUCUCUCGGCUCAACCGAGAAACGUCGGCCGAUACUGCCGUUCUUGAGGGAUGCAGAGGAGACUGGAAUUCCCGGUGUAGCGGUGAAAUGUGUAGAGAUCGGGAGGAACACCGGUGGCGAAGGCGGGUCUCUGGGCAUUUCCUGACGCUGAGGCGCGAAAGCGUGGGGAGCAAACGGG
rnacentral:rRNA from 1 species